UACAGAGGUCCCGAGCGUUGUUCGGAUUCAUUGGGCGUAAAGGGUGCGUAGGCGGCGGGGAAAGUCUGAUGUGAAAUCCUGGGGCUCAACCCUGGAACUGCAUUGGAUACUUCCUUGCUAGAGUACUGGAGAGGAAACUGGAAUUUACGGUGUAGCGGUGAAAUGCGUAGAGAUCGUAAGGAAGACCAGUGGCGAAGGCGAGUUUCUGGACAGUUACUGACGCUGAGGCACGAAGGCCAGGGGAGCAAACGGG
rnacentral:rRNA from 1 species